UCCUGAGCUGUUUUCGAUAAUGGAAUUUCCGAAUUGACGAUCCGCUCCGUUAGACUUGAUCUAGCGUAUUUGAAAUUUCUAGAAAAUAAUUUUUACGAUUUUUCGAUAUCAUUUACCUAGCAAUCAAAAUGAUUCAAAAUUAAUAAUUUUUAACAGCUGAAAAUAAAAAUUCUAUAAAAAGUGGUGAUAAAGCACUAAAAUUUUCGAUCAGAAAUAUUGAUCUUGUUGUAGAUAGUAUCAAAAUUUUAUCUGAUUUGAAUACUUCGAUACCGUUAAACUUGAAAACGGUAGAUA
rnacentral:lncRNA from 1 species